AAAUCCACAUGAGAGAGAAUUGUAAAAAUCCCUUGACUAGGUUGGCCAAAAAAUUUUUUUAAAAAAUCACAUUUGCUAAUUCCCACAUAGUGAGUUUUGCACCAUCUUCACCGUGGUCUCUCAGCUCCACCAAUAAGCUGCCUGCUUCUGCCUUUUGCAGCUCAUCCUUCUUUGGGAAACUGGGGAAAGAGAACCUGGAGUCAGUGGAAUUACAGCAGGAAGGGAUAAGUCUCAUGAUUCGUCCACUAACCAAAGGCUUUGUAAACAGAGGAUAAUGUUACUGAAUGGUCUGGCUAACCCUGCAGUUAGAAACAAUCAGGUCUAUGGGUGGUAAAUUGACAGAGGCUCUGCUGCUGAUCAUGAAUAGCAGCUGUUGAAAGGUAAUGUGCUUCUAUUUCAUGCCUCUGGAAGUACAGAAAACAAUGAUCUGGUUAAAGGAAAGUUGCCAUUUCUCAGAGCCCCAAUUUCUAUUGUGUGUGACAGAAGGUUUGAAUGUGUAGCAGGUAGUUUGGUAAAGCUAGCUAUUUUAUGUGUGUACAGGCUCCUGCCCACCUCCAGCAGAGGUUUCAAUCACAUACUAUGGCAACUUACCAAUGUCAACAAAUUAGUCCAUUCCUCCCCAUAGUCAGUCUCUGACGGAAUGUUAGAAUGAGGCAGAGAACUGGGAAAGUAUCACAGUAGGAAUACAUUAAAAAGUGGAUUAAUCAGAGCUGGGGUGCAGACAGAGCUGUUCUACAGCUGGUGAAGUGACAGGGACACACUCCCACUAGUGCUGGCUCUGAAAUAACAGCAGAAGCAGAUGGA